CGUAAAUUAACAAUGAAGCAUUUCAGAAUGUUGAAAAUUAAUCUAAGAAUGCUUUGGUAAUAUCAGUGUGUCAGUCUUGAGUUCAAUAUUUAUCAGAAUUCCAACGUAAGAUUUUGUUUUUCUUUUGCAAUUGUUUGUCUGUUUUCGUUGAUUCAUUUAUUAUUUGAGCUCAAAAAUAAUGAACAAUAUUUUCCCGGUAAGUUUAUUGGUUUCUUCUAUAGACAAAGAAGGAUUGAAUCAUUUAAAGCUCUACGCGGGUGCCGAUGUCCUGUGUAUGUAACACGCAAGAAAACUAUCAAUUCGGAGAAAGUGUGCCGGAGGUUCCAAAUCCAACAAUACUUUUUUCGGAUUUAUUUGGCGAUCAGAAAUUAAACAGACACAGGAAGCAAUAAACCGAGAAGAUCUUCGACAAAUAUUGCUGAUGGUUGCGGUAGCGUUGCUGCGAAAUGAGCUUCUAAGCAGUAAAUUACAAUUAGAAAUAAUUUUAUUAAAUAAAGAACUUUAUAACGUUGCCGUAAA